UAAUAUAUAUAUAUAUAUAUAUAUAUAUAUAUAUAUAAUUUACUGAAGCACUAGAUUAUGCUAGAGGGGUAUUAGGCCCAAACUACUAUAUCUCUCCCACUCUUAAACAAAAUCCAGACAAAAUUUCUCAAUACCAUAUUCAGAAAGACACAGAUAAAAUUAUAUUUUGCGAUCAUUGUUUUUCAAUGACUGAAGCUUUCAAGAGACUAAAUCUCAAAAACGAAUUACUAGCUCAAGAAAAUCUCCAGCUAAAAGACAGGAUGACAAAAAUGGAGAAUGACUUAAAGAUAAAAGACAAUCAGAUCAAUAUACAGGGUUUUCCAUCCCUAAUAAAAAUGGAGGAGAUGGGUGUACAUUCGCCUCUGAAUGUAAAUAAAUCUACUGUAUCGGAUAAAGAUACAGCUAGUCCGGUUCAAACGGUAGCCGGUAAAGACUCCUUAAAUCUGUUAAUGGCUGUCACUUUGCCAAAAAGUGAAAAAGAAGAGAGCUCAUCCUCAAGAAGACAACUACCAAUUUCUUUUAGCAAAAAAAUCAGACAAAAAACCAAAAAAUCACAAAAAAAUAAAGACUUAGAAUCCAUCAUAACCAAGACUGUAGAAAAACUACUUAAAGAACAACAAGACAAAGACAAACAUAUAAACCCCAGCCCAAUACAAAGCCUAAGACAAAAUUCAGAUUUAAGCCCAAAUAAUUUAGAUGGUUUUUCAGACACUAUGCAAUUUGCUCAAGACCCAAACGACUAUGAUUCGGGUAUGAGUUUUGAUUCCAUUGCUUUACACAACUUAGACACACAAAUAAAUAAAUAAAAAAUAAAAAUACAGUCAAAAAGAGGAAUGCCUCUUUGGUCAACAAUGUGAGUCCCACUUUACUCACCACCACACAUUUGUGGAAAAACUGUUGGGACGCGUCUUUAUGUUAUUUUAAAAUAGACAGGCAUUAAGAAAUAAAGUUUCUUUUUGAAUAAAGACAAAUAAAAAGGAGAUAAUGGAAUAGAAAUAAUUCAGACAAAGGACGGAUGAUAAUGCAAAAGAAGGAAUCAUUUCACGUGCCAUGGGCCCAAUGCGCACCCGGCGGAAAAGAUGAAAUUAUUUUUCAUUCUGAAGUCCGAAGUUUGAAGUCCAUAUUUGUGUAUAUAUAGAAGACAUUAUUAGAAGAAGAAGGAGUGUGGAAGAAAAGCAAGAAGAGCAAAAAUCUACAACCCGCAAAUCAUCCCUCCAAAGAUCUUUUUUUUUAAAAAAAUAAUAUAUAUAUAUAUAUAUAUAUAUAUAUAUAUAUAUAUAUAUAUAUAUAAAUAUUUUCUUUAGGUUCUUAGAUCUUGUUUCAAGUUUUUGUAAAGUUACUUUGAAAGUCGUUCGGGUUUCCCGAAAGGGAAACUUCACUCUGUUCUAAUAAUAUUCUUCAUUUAUGAGGGGUAAAGAUACAGAGUUUUUUCCUAAUACCGAUAAUUGUUCCUCUCUAUAAUGUCUAUAUAAUUGAGAUUUUGAAUUUGUAUUAUAUAAAACUUUUGGAUUUAAUAAAUUUAAUUGAUUCUGUUGGAAAAUUUGUAUAUCUUUAUCUGUAUCUAUAAUUUCGUCUAAUUGUUGACUAUUUUCUUC